CUUUGGCAGUACAAUAUUUGUGGCAAGAUUUUAUGCGAUCAUUUCGAUGGAAAGAAGACACAAAUGUGUUAUCUUGAAUUGUGAAGUAAGAAAGAUUUAAUUGAAAUGGCAAGUGCUUCAUCAGAAAGUGUUCCUGUUGAUGAAAUCAACGAACUACUCACAUGUUGCAUGUGUUUGGAAACUCUACAAGAACCACGAAGCUUGGCUUGCUUUCAUAAUUUUUGUAAAGUCUGUUUAGGUGAGUA
rnacentral:lncRNA from 1 species